AACACAACAAAGGUGGUUUCAGCUCUGCGAAACAAACCUCCGUUUCCGAGAAGCGCGCACCGUGUGUAGACUGAGGAGUACCACCCAUCCUCCAGGAGGCCACAAACAGCUGAGCGCACUGAACCCAGGUUCAUAAACAAGGGUGUAAACCUGAGAACAGCCGGGGGCGCUGAGGCAGGAGGGAUUUUAAAACAAAAAACAAGAAGGAAACGCUACUGCGUUGUAAAGUGGGAGAGGGCAGAAGGCCGUAGAAACCAAGACUGCAAAAAUCAAAACUCUAACAACACCAUCACAAGGUGGGAGGUGUUGCUAUUGUAGAUUUCUUUUUUCUUUUCUUUUCUUUUCCCUUCCCUUCCCUUCCCUUCCCUUCCCUUCCCUUCCCUUCCCUUCCCUUCCCUUCCCUUCCCUUCCCUUCCCUUCUUUCUUUCUUUUUCUUUUUUUUUAGACAUGCUCUCAUUCCUAGGAUGGCCUGAAACUCACUAAAUAGACUAGGAUGGAAUCCUCCUGCCUCAGUCUUCCAAGUACAGGGAUCACAAAUGUAAGCCAUCAUAGCCAUAUGGAUUGACUAGAGUUUAGAAUUCUCCCCAAAUCCUCGAGGUACCUGAAGGUAGCUACUUGUUUAGGCUCCGCCCCACAGUUACCUGGCAACAGUCAGGUGUGCCUGACUCACUAAACAGGGGCUGCUUGCCCCCUCCUCUCUUGCUUACUUGCUCUUUGCUCUGUCUCCUUGAUCCUGCUCCCGGUUUCUCCGCAUUCCAAUCCCCCCCCCCCUACACACACACACACACACACACACACACACACACACACACACACACACACACACUCCACGUGCUCCUGGCCGGCCUCUACUCCUCUACUCUCUCAUCUCCCCUCCCCAUACCUUGUUGUUGGUCCCUCAGGGGGAAGGGAUGCCUUAGCAUGGGCCCGCAGAGCCCCCCUCCCCCCACAUCUGACUGCACCUCCACCAAACAUAUCCCUCCUCUUCUUAUCUUUUUAUAAAACACAACACCUGAGGGUUUUAAGCCUGGCUAUAAGCCUCACUUUUGGCAGUGCAAGGGGCGGAGGUUGUUGUCCCUGGAAGGUGCGAGACACUCCUCCACGUGUCUGCUCCGGAGGGCCUCAGUGCUUUUCAGGAAACCUUAGAGUAAGGUUUGUUGGAGUAGAUUGGGCCAGCUUCCUGAGGACUAUGUUCUGCCAAGAAGUAAACAAGGGAAGCAGGAGAAGAAGGAGCUGGCACGCACGCACGGAGAGGAGGUGGUGUGCCUCCAGCGGGGACUUGUCGGACACCAGCUGUGCACUUUCUAACAUCCUAGAGACUUGUUGCAGGAUCGCCCCAGGAGCCGUGCCCACCCUGAAUGGAGUUCUGUCUGACCCAGGAAGGUUCCAGCCAUGUCAAGCAAGGAACAGAAGGCCAUGAAGUAAAGUGCCAAGUGCCCGAGGGUAGAUAAGACCCUCCAUCAGAAGACUCCAAGAACCGAGAUGCAGUCAACCCUGCGGACAAUCCAGUAGUUGGUACCAGUGAGAUGGGCAGUCAUUGCUCAGAUUCAGAUGUGCAAGAGGCCCCGAGCCUGUUCAGAAGAGGAUGCAGGAUUUCUAAGGUGAUGCUACUUAGUUUCUUAUGGAAAAGAGGAAGCAGUUUGAAAAGGAUGUAAAUGCCUCUUUCAGAAACCUGAAUGAAAGCCUCCAGGGUAUUCUGAAAGCUCAGCAGAAGUCAAGGCAGGAGCUUGAGUCUGUGUACUGUGAAAGGUAUGGGUCCCUAUACCAGAAGUGUCUAGAUGAGGUGGGCAGCACAAGGGGCCAAGAAGAACACCUCGGUUUUAUAACAGCAGCAAAUGAAGAUUUUACAGACAGGUAUAGCAGAUCAUGAAACCAAGCUUGAAAAUACUGAAGAUAUGUCUGACACAUUUUUGAAGAAAGCCAACGACUUGAGUAAACAUCGCAGACCCCUUUUUGGCAGUCAGCAAACAAAUGUAGAGAAGGAAAUCUCGAAGGUACAGGGCAGAGUUACCAUGGAAACUCAAGAACAAGAUGUAUCUGUUGUUGAAAGGUACCUUCAGUCCCUGAUCCUUGACCACUCUGAAGCUCACACAUAGGGUGCACAGGGAAGAGAGCAUCAGCCAUGCUAGAAGACAUUAGUAGUCGCCAGUGCGGCUCCUUUCUCUUUACUCUGUUUGUUACAGUUGAGACUGAGACUCUGUUAACCAUUAAGUGAAGCCCCAGCAGUCCUGUGAGAAGCAACAGCUAAGUGUGGAACAUCCAGGACCAUGACAGCAAGAGAGAUACAUUCUGCAGUGUGGCAAUUACAUUUUGGAAACAAAUGUCAUUUGAUUUUGUGGUUGGUUCUCUGUCUCUUCCCUAAAGUGAGUGUUACCUUACUUAUUUUAGGAAGAAGUGAAUAAAGAUAGGACCUGUAAAAAAAAAAAAAAAAAAACCCAAAAACCCAAAACAACAACAACAAUCCAAAACCAAAAUCCAAAUAAACAAACAAAAAACAUGGCUGGCAAGAUGGCUCAAAGGGUAAGAGCACUGAUUGCUCAUCCGAAGAUCCUGAGUUCAAAUCCCAGCAACCACAUGGUGGUUCACAACCAUCGGUAAUGAGAUCUGACACCCUCUUCUGGUGUGUCUGAAGACAGCUACAGUGAACUCAUAUAUAAUAAUCAAUAAAUUUUUGGGCCUGAGCGGUCAGAGUCGACUGGAGUGAACGGGGCUAAGCAGGACUGACCAGAGCAAGUAGAGGUCCCAAAAUUCAAUUCCCAACAACCACAUGAAGGCUCAUAACCAUCUGUAUAGCUGCAGUAUACUCAUAUACAUAAAAUAAGUAAAUUGAUU
rnacentral:lncRNA from 1 species